rnacentral:rRNA from 1 species
CGCAGCCGCGGUAAUUCCAGCUCCAAUAGCGUAUAUUAAAGUUGUUGCAGUUAAAAAGCUCGUAGUUGAAUUUCGGGGUUAGUAGAUUGGUCAUGCCUCCGGUAUGCACUGGUCUUACUGAUUCCUCCUUCCUGAUGAACCGUAAUGCCAUUAAUUUGGUGUUGCGGGGAAACUGGACUGUUACUUUAGAAAAAAUUAGAGUGUUUAAAGCAGGCUAACGCUUGAAUACAUUAGCAUGGAAUAAUGAAAUAGGACGUUCGAUCUUAUUUUGUUGGUUUCUAGGAUUGACGUAAUGAUUAAUAGGGAUAGUUGGGGGCAUUAGUAUUCAAUUGUCAGAGGUGAAAUUCUUGGAUUUAUUGAAGACUAACUACUGCGAAAGCAUUUGCCAAGGAUGUUUUCAUUAAUCAAGAACGAAAGUUAGGGGAUCGAAGACGAUCGGAUACCGUCGUAGUCUUAACCAUAAACUAUGCCGACUAGGGAUCGGAUGAUGUUAAUUUUUUAAUGACUCAUUCGGCGCCUU